UCUUUUGUAUUAAAGAAUUAAAUGGAUGAAAUAUGAAGUUUUAUUAAAAGAAAAAUGGGUGAAAAGAACAAAGUUUUGUCCAUCUUUGUUCAUCAUAGCUGAAAGUUAGAGAAGAGAAAGGAGAGGAGAAAGCUCUUGAGUAUUUGGUCAUUAGGAGGAGGAAAAUUGAAGGUAAGUUCUUGGUACCUUGCUUCUAUUUUGAGGUUCAUGAGUUCUUCUUGAUUCUACCUUAACUCUUGAAGUAUAUUUUGAUUUUUAGUUGUGUUGUGAGCAUUUAGUCAUGAAUUAAAAUGAAGGAAACGGUUGUUGUUUCAUGUUCUUUUGAUGAAAAAUGGAAGAUAGGUGAAGUUGAGCCAAACAAAUGAGCAUGCAUGUGCCUUAGAUGUUAAAGGGAAAAAUCAGCUAACAUGUUGUGCUUUAAAAUGAUGAAAUGGAGAUUAUACUUAAGUAAAAUCAUAGAUAUGUGAUGAUUGAUUGGUGAUAUACAUGUUUAAAUAACAUGCAUGCAAGGUAUGUGUGAAAGAGUGAUUUGGUAAUAAAUCUGCUUGGGACAGCAGCAGUAACGUGACUUUGGAAAAUCACCAUAAAUUGUGGAAGAUGAAUUAGAAGCUGAAUAAAUUAUGUAAUUAAAGCUUAUUGAGUCUAGUUUCUAAUGAAAUAAACAAGAACAUAUUUUGAAUUCUGUACAAUGAGAAAUUUGAUUCGUAAUGAAGAGUGGUCAGAUUAGUCAAACAGUGAAACAUGGGAAACUUUGAGAAAAAUCUGGUAUUGAUUGGCUAAACAAAAAAUUCUGAAAAUUUUAUGGAUAGAAGAUAUAUGAGUCUAUUUUCAGGGAAAAUUAACGGAACUUGAUUUGGAGUUUCGUAGCUCCAGUUAUAAAUGAUUUAGUGAUUGUUGCUCAGGAAGACAGCUUGCAGUGAAAUUAUGAUUAUGUAGUAAACAUUGACAAAAAUUUGUUAAUGAGUUGCUUAUUGAUUUCUUAUAAGCUUACUAUGAUCUGUAGGUGUGGUUGGCCGAAUAUUGUAAGGGGUUAAUACGUAGUUUGUAUUUGAAUAGUUAGAUUAACGUGUUAGUAAUCCAAUUGUAGGCGGUUCGUGUGUGGAUCUCGUCAGCAUAUCGUCGCAAACAGGUGUGUAACUGACACCCUCUCAUAGACUAGAUUGGCAAAAGCCGAAAUGCCAAAAAGUCGGUAUUUUGGGAAUUUGCGAGUGUGCGAAUGCUCGUAAGAUAGUUGGGUUGUAUAUUUGGUAAUCUAAAGUAAUAAACUGCAGUACGCGCGAUUUCGUACAUUUUGAUAAUUUGGGCUUAAUGGGCCAAAGAUCGGGUUCAUGGGCCAACGGGCCCAAUUCGGUAAGUAUGCGCGGUAAGUGUUCUGAUAGUACGUAAAUAGUUAGGAUAUGCAUGAAAACCCUAAAAGUAGCUAAAUUACUAUAAUACCCCUAUGUAUGGAAAAUUACUGUUAUACCCCUAGGUGCAAAAUUACCGUUAUACCCCUAGGGUUAAUUUUGACUGAAAAGCAUGACGAUCUGAUUCUGUAUGAUGUAUGCCAUGAUUAUAUAUCUGUUGCAUGGGGACAUGGGUUAUAUUAUGGAGGAAGCGUUCUGGUGGCUAUGCCACAAAUAUCUGAUCUGGUGGCUCUGCCACAAAUAUCUGAUCUGGUGGCUCUGCCACAUAUAUCUGUUCUGGUGGCUCUGCCACGAUUAUCUGUAUCUGGUGACUCUGUCACAUUAUCUGUUCUGGCAGCCAUGCUGCAAAUUCUGUGGUGUGUAGCGGUUGUGUGGGUCGAGUUGUCUCCCCACACGGUGUAAGGUUGGUACGGGGGUGUAUACGGUUGGAUAUGGUUGGGUUUCUGCAUAAACAUGUAAUAUCUGUUCUGUUCUGUUAUGGGCCUAUGGGCUUUAUUCUGAAUUCUGUUAUGGGCUAAGGCCAACUUAUUCUGUUUCUGUGGUUUGAGCUGAUAUAGGCUAUGGUUGGGUUAUUUUACACACUGAGUUUCCCCAAACUCACCCCUUUUAUUUUCAUCCACGCAGGUAAUCCCCAACCAUAGUGGGCUUGGAGCUGUGAGGGAAUUCGAAGUGGCCACCCGUUCUGAAAGUUUGAUUUUCUUCUGGUGAACUGGACAUCCUUUUAUUUACGUUUGAAGUUUUGGGUUUUUAAAUGUAAUAAGGCCGCUUAAUUAUUUUUGAUGGUUUUAAUAUGUAUUACUAAGAUAGGUAUUACUUAUUUUAACUGUUGAAAUUGGAUAGCUUUAAGGCGCGUUUUCAAAAACAGUAAUGGAUUUCAAAAUAACACGAAAACAAGCAAAGCUUCCGUAAUGAAGAUAUUUUCCAAAAUUAAUCACUUUUCCUAAAAAGGACUUAAUCAAAUUGGUUUCCUAGAAAUAUACAUGACGUUAAGGUAUGGCAAUGGC
rnacentral:lncRNA from 1 species